CCAAAAAGUGCGUCGUAGUCCGGAUUGGAGUCUGCAACUCGACUCCAUGAAGUCGGAAUCGCUAGUAAUCGUGGAUCAGAAUGCCACGGUGAAUACGUUCCCGGGCCUUGUACACACCGCCCGUCACACCAUGGGAGUGGGCUGCAAAAGAAGUAGGUAGUUUAACCUUCGGGGGGACGCUUACCACUUUGUGGUUCAUGACUGGGGUGAAGUCGUAACAAGGUAGCGCUAGGGGAACCUGGCGCUGGAUCACCUCCUUAAACGAUGAU
rnacentral:rRNA from 1 species